AGUGUAGACUACUCCUUGGCUGCUGUUUGGUGUAAAAAUGUUGGAAGCUGAUGUGAGGAGACAUCCCCUGAGCAAAGCAGCGGUGACUUAAGAAUUGACUUUGAACAUUGUUUGAAGCCGGUGAGUGCUCCAGGAAUCCUGUUCAGUGUUUACUGUACUAACACUGGUAUAACCUCGAACUGGCAGUGAGACAAAGAGUUUACCAGACAUUGGAGAAAAGACGUACAUUCGACCUUCCCGGUUGUUUCCUCCGACUCCUGGAGAAUGUGCAGAACCUUAAUGAUUUUUAACGUACCUUCAAGCCUUUCGUCCAACUGAGACAGCUU